CCCCUAUCUUGUGAUUAUUUAUACAUAUUGCCCAUGUUUUGUUUUAUUUUUUGAAAAAUAAGACCUUUCUUUGGUAAUUUCCAAGAUAAAACCCUAACCCCCCAGAAGCCAGAAGGAACGAAAUCCGUCCUCUCUAAUCCCAUCUUCCUGUCCUCCGAGUAAGGUAAUUUUCAAGCUAAAACCCUAACCCCAGAGGAGCAACGAAAUCCUUUCACUCUCAAACCCCAUCUUCCUGUCCUGCGAGUAAAAUAAGCACAAAAUAAAUAAAAAAGAAUGGCGUUUGGGCAAGUGGUGAUUGGUCCACCGGGAUCAGGCAAAACCACCUACUGCAAUGGCAUGUCUCAAUUCUUAAGCCUCAUCGGAAGGAAGGUUGCUGUUAUCAAUUUGGAUCCAGCAAACGAUGCAUUGCCGUAUGAUUGUGCUGUUAACAUUGAAGAUCUUAUCAAACUAAGUGAUGUAAUGAACGAGCAUUCCCUUGGUCCCAAUGGAGGUCUUGUUUAUUGCAUGGAUUAUUUGGAGAAGAAUGUUGACUGGUUGCAAUCCAAAUUGGAACCUCUGUUGAAAGAUCACUACCUUCUUUUUGAUUUUCCGGGCCAGGUGGAAUUGUUUUUUCUCCAUUCGAAUGCCAAGAAUGUUAUAAUGAAACUCAUUAAGAAGUUGAACCUUAGGUUGACUGCCGUGCAUUUAGUUGAUGCCCAUCUUUGCAGUGAUCCUGGAAAAUAUGUCAGUGCAUUGCUUUUGUCACUAUCAACAAUGCUUCAUCUGGAACUCCCACAUAUCAAUGUCUUGUCUAAGAUUGAUCUAAUUGAGAGCUAUGGCAAGCUAGCUUUUAACCUCGAUUUCUAUACAGACGUGCAAGACUUAUCAUAUUUGCAGCACCAACUUGAUCAGGAUCCUCGUGCUGCUAAGUACAGGAAGUUUACAAAGGAGUUGUGUGAUGUAGUACAAGACUUCAGUCUCGUUGAUUUUACAACUUUGGACAUUCAGGACAAAGAGAGUGUAGGGAAUCUUGUGAAGUUGAUAGACAGGACCAAUGGUUACAUCUUUGCUGGUGUGGAAUCCAGUGCAGUUGAAUUCAGCAAGAUUGCAGUUCGCCCUGUUGACUGGGAUUACUACAGAGUUGCAGCAGUGCAAGAGAAGUACAUGAAGGAUGAUGAGAAUUUUGACAAUGACAACUGAAAACCUAGUUUGUGUAUAGAUGCACUUGCUGAUGAAGUUUUCUCGCCAUUUUGUGGGGAGCAAAGUAACAUCUUGCCUUUGAGGACUAGAGAUAAUACAUCGUAUCUGUAAGAAGUUUCUGCCUCGUCGUUCAAGUUAACUAAAGCGCGUGGAUUAAUGUUAUUUGCGGUCCCAAAAGCGCGUGGUUUUGUUUUCUUUGAAAUUUGAUGCACGGGCUCCUUCUAGAGAGAGCGCGUGGAUUUGUUUUCUUCGAAAUUUGACACACGUGCUCCUUCUAGAGAGAGUACUAAAUGACGGAGCAAACUAUUUCCAAUGGCAAGCUAGCCUUGACAUUUUGAAUGAACUAGGACGCAACUUACAAGCCGUCAUGUAGA